rnacentral:rRNA from 1 species
AUUGGACGCUGGCGGCAUGCUUUACACAUGCAAGUCGAACGGUAACAGCACUUCGGUGGCUGACGAGUGGCGAACGGGUGAGUAAUACAUCGGAACGUGCCUAGUAGUGGGGGAUAACUACUCGAAAGAGUAGCUAAUACCGCAUGAGAUCUAAGGAUGAAAGCAGGGGACCUUCGGGCCUUGCGCUACUAGAGCGGCUGAUGGCAGAUUAGGUAGUUGGUGGGAUAAAAGCUUACCAAGCCGACGAUCUGUAGCUGGUCUGAGAGGACGACCAGCCACACUGGGACUGAGACACGGCCCAGACUCCUACGGGAGGCAGCAGUGGGGAAUUUUGGACAAUGGGCGCAAGCCUGAUCCAGCAAUGCCGCGUGCAGGAUGAAGGCCUUCGGGUUGUAAACUGCUUUUGUACGGAACGAAAAGCACUAUUCUAAUACAGGAGGGUCAUGACGGUACCGUAAGAAUAAGCACCGGCUAACUACGUG